UCUUUAUAUAGAGGUAUUACACGCUUUUAGCCGUUUUAAUUGUAAAAUUCGGUAUAUUUAGUUGGGGUGACGCGAAGACAUAAACUCUUCUUUACAAAACUUAUUUUAAAGGUAAAAUGACCCGGUUCGCCGAUCAAAAAAUUAAGU
rnacentral:rRNA from 1 species